CACCAGUAUCUUUACUUAAAUCACUUAUUAUUCAAUCUUUCUUUUUAUUUUAUAAAUUAAUAGCAUCCAAAUGAAGAGUGUUUCUGUAGUAGGAUUUUACCUAGUUGGAGAUAUAAGUGAACACUUUUCACUAUACUAAGCUAUUCACCACUAGCUAAGAAUAAUGUCAAACAUUCGUUCAUUGCCUCUUGUAAAUUGACAUGACCCAUCCCGUAUCAGUCUAAUGGACUAGGAAUGUGAUGUGUGCCGACGAUAGAUGUUGACUAGAGGCUAGAUCCACCACCAAGGCUGACUAUGACUUACUACAAAAUGUCCGCCAAAAUCAAAUAUUUAUGCAAAAUAUAAUGCAAUGGGUCCCAAAAAAAAUAAUUAUUUCAUGUUUUACCAAAAUGAAUCAUAUAACUCAAUAUGUCAUGUGGCUCUAAUUCUAAUGCCACCAGCGUCCUCAAGCUAACAGGGACAAUACUACCUGUAAGAAAAAUUUGGAAAAAAUAGGAAUUUAUAACUCAAUGAAUGGAAGAGUUUGAAAAUAAUUAUACUUUCUCACUUAAACAUUUUUCUCAUAUGUAGACAUCAAGUUCAUAUCGUUUAGUAAUUCACACGAUAACCUCAUACAAUUAUACCAAAAAAGAGACAUUCUCAUAACUCUGUAAAUAUCAUCUCAUCACAUCACAUAUGAUCCGCCAAAAAUGUGCUCUCUAACUAAAAUCUAAAAAAAAAACCCCGAGAUCUCAUCACAUUACAUGUGAUCCGCAAAAAAUGUACCCUCUAAAUAAUCUGAAAUCCGUCACUCGGGCUAAGAACUUUCACCAUGGGUCUUUGGCCCUCUCCGUGAACGAAAGUUGGUCUCAAGACCUCUGGUAGUCAUCCGUGAACUAGAAGAAGUAUAUAAUCACUGGUACUUUUUUGAUCGAUCUCAAUAUUACAUCUCAUAUUCCAAAUCACAAACUUUAGCAUAUACAAUCUUUGAAAUUCCACAUGUAUCAUGGUAAAAGAAACUUUUAUGGUAAUCAUAUAAUUGAGCAAAUAAUUCACAUAACUUAAUAAUAUACUUAAUUUAUAAUACCUUGAAAUUAUUUAAGUUUUUCCACUCACAGAUCUAUGGAUAGAAAUUUGAUUAAAUUAAAGAACCUUUCUAAACUUUCACAUCCCUACCUGAAAUAACGUAUAAUUUCUUAAAACUUAACAAUUAUAGUAAUGCAAAUCCACCACUUAACAUCUCAACUUCUAUACUUACUCUUAUAUCUCCAAUUCCCCAACUUUUCUUCUCUUUAAUAAUUUAUCAACUAAUCACCAUACACUAUCAAAUUCAUUACACCACUCACACUUCCUUAAAAUCACUACCUUUAUACAUAUACAACAGCUGUACAUAUUUAGUCCAAUACAUAGACUUCAAAAUUUGUCAUAUAAAUUCAUUCAAAACUUUAAAAAUCUAGAAAUCCAAGGUUUGACAAAACAGCACUAAAAUUCCAGAAUAUAGAAAUCUAGCACCAAUUUCUAUAUAUUGAAAUCUGGCAUCGAAACCAUUGACAUUUUUGGGUAGAAUUUCAGAAUUAACACUUGUACUAUAAUAGCUUGAAAAUUGCUUUAAAAUAAUGGAGAAUUCAAAUCUCAAAUCCUUAAUUUGAGUGUUUAGCAUCAUAUAAUCACAAGAAACUCAAAGAAUAUAUCUUUCAUCUCACAACCCAUUUCCAAAAUUCUACUUUCUUCAACUUCAAUUUUCAAAUAAAUAUUUCCUUGCUAUAUUCUUAAUUAAAACCUUGAAUACACAUCAAUAACACCUAAUUCUUGCUAACUUCAAAGUUUUAGAGAUAAGUUUCAUAGACCCUAAAGGAGAUAAUUUCACAUUCUUAUACUUACCUCUCUAAAUUAAGGGGAGAAAAUGAGAAAUUGAGAACCUAGCCUUGUAAAAUUGGAACCUAUCCCUUCCUUCUUUUUCUUUUUCUCUUCCAUUUUCUUCCUUUUCCUUCCGUGGUUUUGUUCUUUGCUUCUCCAUUCGGUUUUUCUCCCCCAAAAUGACAAAAAAGAGAUCAAUUAUCCUUUAAGUUAAUGGAUAACCAUUAUAAAAUUGCAACUAAAGUCCCCAUCCUUCAUAUAAUAUACCAUUUACUCCUUUUAUUCCAAUAAAUAGAAAACAUAUCCCUAAUAUAUAUAUAUAUAUAUAUAUAUAUAUAUAUAUACACACACACACUUUUGGCCCUUAAGUACUUGUUAUUAGAAAUUAAGCCCCAUAAAAAUUAUUUGUUCAACUUAAGUCCUUAUUGAUUUUGACUUUGACCAAUUACUUUGCUUGACUUUGACUAAAAAUGGGUGUCACUUUGACCAAAAAUGAGUGGGGUGUAAUAAUCUUAUCCCCUUCAAAGAAUUUCGUUUUCUCGAAACUCAAUCCACUAGAAUUCGAACAUAUUAUAAAAUAAAGAAAAAAUAAUGAAUGAUUUCUCCAAGAACCUUGAAUGAGGCCCAAAGUUUAUUCUUUCCUUAUUAUACAUCGAAUAACUUUCCUAAGAACCAAUAUAUGAUAUUCU
rnacentral:lncRNA from 1 species